rnacentral:rRNA from 1 species
GACGAACACUGGCGGCAUGCCUAACACAUGCAAGUCGAACGGAGAUUAUUUCGGUAAUCUUAGUGGCGAACGGGUGAGUAACGCGUGGGCAACCUGCCCUCUAGAUGGGGACAAUAUCCCGAAAGGGGUGCUAAUACCGAAUGUGACAGCAAUCUCGCAUGAGGAUGUUGGGAAAGAUGGCCUCUAUUUAUUAGCUAUCGCUAGAGGAGGGUACUGCGUUUGUUUAGUUAGUUGGUGGGGUAACGGCCUACCAAGGCGAUGAUCAGUAGCCGGUCUGAGAGGAUGAACGGCCACAUUGGGACUGAGACACGGCCCAGACUCCUACGGGAGGCAGCAGUGGGGAAUCUUCCGCAAUGGGCGAAAGCCUGACGGAGCAAUGCCGCGUGAGUGAUGAAGGAAUUCGUUCCGUAAAGCUCUUUUGUUUAUGACGAAUGUGCAGAUUGUGAACAAUGAUCUGUAAUGACGGUAGUAAACGAAUAAGCCACGGCUAACUACGUG